AAAAAGAUGAACACUUGAAUUAGGAUGUUAAAUGGAUGAACAUUGAUGUUGUGGUGCUAGUUCUAAGUGUAGUUCAUGUACACUAGACAUAGAGGCAUGAAUUUGAUAUUAAAACUUGGUUAAAACGAUGACCAUAAUUAGAUAAAAUAUGCGUAUAAAAUCUCGCCUACAAGAUGUUUGUUAAAAUGCCCGAAUGAAUAUUGAUAAGAAGAAAUUAUGAAAGAAAUGCGUAAUUGGCUAAUUUGACCAAUUACGCGAAAUAUGGGUUAAAACGGGUUCUAAUCAUAAUGUUGAUUUAACUUAAUUGUGCCUAUUGUAUGAUUAAAGGUAGUUGACUUUUAAAAGUCAAACUAACCAAUGAUAAAGUCGAAUAGUAGUUUCGACAUAGAAAAUACGUAAGGUGGAAUAGUCGUGAUUGUUAAUGACUCAUCUAACCACCUUGUAAAUGAUGACAAUAGUUUGACGCUUAACGAGCUAGGUGGCGGCUUAGGAAAAGAAGCGGGUCAAACAGCUUGAAUACGCGGAGAAAGAGCGAAAACGGAUGAAAGGUAUAUUUACAGUACCGGAGGAUGAUCAAGCUCAACGAAUAACCGAACACGGUCAAGUUUAAGCUUCCGCACGUUAUUACGUUGUUGUGUUGAACAACGAAUUAAAUCACAUUUUGUUGUAUUGUUUCAAUGCUAAGUAAAGAUUUAAAUAAACCCGUACUUUCAUUAGUAUGUUUAAUCAUAAAUACACAUUUUUAGUCUUAAUUUAUAAGAAAACCGUUAAAUAUUG
rnacentral:lncRNA from 1 species